rnacentral:misc_RNA from 1 species
GUGGGAGCGGGCUUGCUCGCGAAUACAGUGUGUCAGUCAAUAGAUUCAUCGACUGAUUCACCGCAUUCGCGAGCAAGCUCGCUCCCAC